UUCCUAUCUCCUCACUAUACAUCCACCUAUCUCCUCACUAUACAUCCACCUAUCUCCUCGCUAUACAUCCACCUAUCUCCUCGCUAUACAUCCACCUAUCUCCUC
rnacentral:sRNA from 1 species